rnacentral:rRNA from 1 species
AGAGUUUGAUCCUGGCUCAGAGCGAACGCUGGCGGCGUGCUUAACACAUGCAAGUCGAGUGCGCGUUUCCGUAGCAAUACGGAGAUGGCGCACGGCGCACGGGUGCGUAACACGUGGGUAAUCUGCCCUCUGAUGGGGAAUAACUCGCCGAAAGGCGAGCUAAUUCCGCAUAACAUUCCUUGGACUCCGGUUCGAGGAUUCAAAGGCGUAAGUCGUCGGAGGUGGAGCCCGCGCACGAUUAGCUAGUUGGUGAGGUAAUGGCUCACCAAGGCUAUGAUCGUUAGCUGGUCUGAGAGGAUGGCCAGCCACACUGGAACUGAGACACGGUCCAGACUCCUACGGGAGGCAGCAGUGGGGAAUCUUGCACAAUGGGCGAAAGCCUGAUGCAGCGACGCCGCGUGGGGGAUGAAGCUUCUCGGAGUGUAAACCCCUUUCGACCGGGACGAAUACCUCGCAAGAGGGGUGACGGUACCGGUAUAAGAAGCCCCGGCUAACUACGUGCCAGCAGCCGCGGUAAGACGUAGGGGGCCAGCGUUGCUCGGAAUUACUGGGUGUAAAGGGUUCGUAGGCGGUGUGGCAAGUCGGGAGUGAAAUCUCUGAGCUUAACUCAGGGGCUGCUUCCGAAACUGCUGUGCUAGAGUGUGGGAGAGGCGCGUGGAAUUGCAGGUGUAGCGGUGAAAUGCGUAGAUAUCUGCAGGAACACCCGUGGCGAAAGCGGCGCGCUGGACCACUACUGACGCUGAGGAACGAAAGCUAGGGGAGCAAACAGGAUUAGAUACCCUGGUAGUCCUAGCCCUAAACGAUCAGGACUUGGGGUGCCACCCG